GAGGAAAGUCCGGGCUUCACAGGGCAGGAUGCCGGAUAACGUCCGGUGGAGGUGACUCCAAGGCCAGUGCAACAGAAAUAAACCGCCGGGAUUCUCCCGGUAAGGGUGGAAAGGCAGUGUAAGAGACUACCGCCCUGCUGGUAACAGCAGGGGCACAUGUAAACCCCAUCCGAAGCAAGACCGGAUAGAAGCAGUGUGGCGGCCCGUCACGCUUCAGGUUGGUCGCUCGAGCACAGCGGUGACGCUGUGCCUAGAUAGAUGAUUGUCCAACGACAUAACCCGGCUUAUCGUCCUGCUUAA
rnacentral:RNase_P_RNA from 1 species